rnacentral:lncRNA from 1 species
GAAGCCUCCAUGUCAGGACACAGCCGGAAACUGCAGGGGGCACGUGAAGGCAAAGACAGGAAGAAGAGGACAGGACAGCCAGAUACUUUAUAUACUUCUGACAACAGGGCUUGUUUCCUUUAGUAUUGCAUUGUAGACAUAGUUCCAUAUCCUAGAUUGAUAGCUCUGAACGGACAGGCUACAAUUCAUCUAACACAUUCCCCAUAGGUAGGUCUCCAACUGGCCCCAGUUUGGCCUUUUAGUGUCACUUGGAAGAGUCUUAGUUUUUAAAACAUUUAAAGUCAGCUAUCAUGUCGUCACUGAACUUUCUCCAGGCCAAACAUCCUGCGUUCCUAACAUCAUUUCUCAUAUGAUGUGGUUCUAGAUUCCUCCAUAUAUGCUGCACUUUUUCUGGGUCCCCAGACUCCAACAGCAGGUUCCAAGGCAGCAGCUUUGGCCAUUGCAGAAUGAGAGAGGCCGUGCCUCAGUUUCUGCCGGAAGACCUAAGGGACUGCUCAUUUGCCAGGCAGCUGGGUUCCCUCAUCAUUUGCAGUUGGGUGACCAAAUCAUUUCUUUUCUAAACCUCAACACUUUUGAGAGUGGGAGGUAUACAAGUUGAAUGGGACAUGGAGAACCCAGGACCUUCCAGGGUGAAAUAGCCAUUUUUCAUGCAAAAGUUGAAGUCAGUUAAAACUUGAAGGAGUUUCUUUUUUACACCAACUGCUUUUAAACUAAGCUCUCAGGUUAGUUUAGCAACAUACUCAAUAGAGGCAAAAAUGGCCUAAUUUGAAGGUAGAUUUGGUUUUUGAAAACAGUCAAUCUUUAUCACAUAGAGGAAACAUGAGAGACCAACUGCUCUAGCUUCCUUUAUGGUGAAGAACAAGACCCAGAGAGGUAAAGGGUCAUGGUUUAAGGUAAUUCCAUUGAUUAGUGACAUCUUUAUUUAAGAGGGGAAAAAAGGUAUUGAAGAUAUAGAACCAAAAUUCAAACCAGCAGCUAUGUGUAUGAUGUGCCUGUCACAAUGCUAGGGUUUUUAAACAUAUUUUUAUUAAAUCAGUAUUAAUUGAGCACUUACUAUAUGCAAGCCACUGUGUAAUAUGCUUGGGAGGAAAUCCCUGUCCUCAAACAGUUCACCAAUGUCUUCACUCAUGUAACCUAUCAAUAAACCAGCAGGGUCAAUAUUCACAUUUCAUUUUGGGAUAUAUGUGAAUGGAUAGGAGGAAGGCACAUGCAUAAGAAGAAAUGGAGACUCAGAAAAAUGAACUUAUUUGCCGAAAGUCACAAAACAAGUAAGUGGGAGAGCAGAAUUCUGACUCCCUGCCUUACACUAGAAAUCACACCACAGUCUGCUCCGUGCUAGCAUCGAGUUUGGCCUUGGGAAACCUGGUGGAGCCUCAGGAUUGCACCUUGAUUGGUGCAUGGGGUCUGUGAGUCACAGCAGAGGGGGUGGUGACCUCUAUAAACUCUUGCUACCAAUGACUACACCCCUCACAGAGGGAUUGUCUACUAGUGAGAAAAACCAUAGUCUGCUUUAGAUUCCUGAUGUUAUUGUAAGUAGGGAAGACCAUUACACACUGUACAAAGACAUGUUUAACAUAACAACAGCCAGCAUUUGUAAAGGAUCUUUGCAGAUUUCUAAGUGUUUUCACAUGCCUCAUCGCGUUGAAUCUUUACUACCCUAACAGAUGUGCAGCCAUCAUUUUCCCCUACAGACCAGCCAGCGAGGCUGGAGGGUGAGGCAACCUGCCCAAAAUUCCAGAAGUCGUGGACAAGAGCCAGUAUACCAACCCAGGCCUUUUUCUCUAUUGUAAUUAAUUAACUAUCUCCAGCUAUUUCAUUAGCAACACAGUAUGGAAGGUCCUUAUAGAGGGACAGCAUGGAAUACCCUCAUGUUAUUGGUUGAUUGUGGUUUAUGGAAGUAAUGCUAUUCCUUCUUAAGAUGCCUUCAGGAUCGUUUCAACUGUAAGGGAAUAUUCAAUCCUCCCAUCCCAGGCUGAGUCGUCAUCAGAGCGAACAAGCAGCCUGGCUCAAGUUUCCUUCCUUGGUGUUUUCUUAUCUGUCUCCCACCAAUGGCUUAGCCUGUAUGGGUGAGUGGGGUCAGGAAGUGGCAUACAGUCUCUGUUUUUAUUCUCUGUUUGGAAAUUUUCUAAUUAUAGGUCACACCAAGAGUUUCCAUUCCUCCCCCAACAACCCUCCAUGACACUUCACCUUGUUUAUGUAACUUAAUAAGCAAAGACCCAAGGCUUUUUUUUUUUUUUAAGACUUAAACCAUGAAGCUUUUAAUGAGGAAUCAAACUCAUUCCCUUAUCUUUCUGGCUAGUAAAUAGCUGCCUGUUAUCUUCUUAGUGUGUAGCUGAACUUACCAUCUCCUUUCUGGUCAGGGGUUUUAUAGUCUGAUUACGCCUUAGGCUUCCUGUGCAAGCCAUCAGAAGAAGGACCAUUCACACACACACACUACAAAAAAAGGAGAUUUAAGGUAAAGUCCUUUAAAACCCCAGCCUUCAUAGAAUAAAGAGAUGAUAUAUCACAGAAUCAAGAAACAGGAGUCACAGAUUCAAGAUAGAUCUAUCAUGGCAUCUGACACAAUGAAGUUGCCUAUUUAGGGUGUAAAUGAGAGCGAGAUUUUAGUCAAUUGUCAUGCUUUGGAGACUGAAAGCUAAGGGCCAACACUUAAAUAAUUUUAUUCCAAUUCUACCAAGAUUUUUUCCCUAACUUAACUGACUAAAAAGAUUAUAAAAUUUAUGUCACCUUAGCCUAGGAUCCUCUGGAAAUACAUUCAGUAAUAGUAACUUUUAGACAAAAUUUGACCAGUAGCCAUAAACCAAAUCCACAGAACAAAAUGAAAAAUAUCCUACUUUUAAGAGGCAAAAAGACAUUCUUAAGCCAAAUGUUAUUAAAGCAAAAAACAACUAUGUAGGAAAUAUUCUGUGCUUUUCCCUACCAGCAGUGUUCAAGCAGAAAUCACUUCUGCAGAACUACUGAACAAUGAAGGCUGGAAAGGAAAUAUAAAAGAAGUGGUAUUUUGGUAAAAAGAUCCUGACCCUGAGGAUUCGUACUAGUAUUAAGUGUUAUAAAAUUAACCUUUCAACUGUCCUCUGGGGUCUGAAGAACGCAGCUAAAUGAAGGAAAACUAAUUCAUGAAACAGGCUGCCAAGGAGGAUCAAGGAAGGAGCUUGCUAUUCAGGAAGCUCAAGAAACAGCACCCAAGCAGGGAUGCAGGGCCCAGAAAGAAAAAAUUUAACUGAUUCCAGAAAAGUCAUUGAGCUUUGCUAAAGAAGGAGUCGUGGCAGCCUCACUACCAAACAUUUGUACCUACCUCCUCCUCCAUGUGGUGAGGAGGAUUUGAGGCCUGGCACGAAAGCAAGGCCAUCACCAUCACCAUUAUUGCUAUUAUCAGGGAAUCCCCAAGCAAUGUCCAUUCAAGAGAUGUUUGAAGCCUUACGCAGAUAUUUUCCAGCCUUUGAGUUUUUUGACCCCUUUUUUCUUUAACCUUUGUUCCAUUUUGAUACAUGGAAAGAUCCUACUCCACUGUCUCAGCUAGAUUUCAGUAGGUUUUUCUGUGUGGGAAUGUCUCUACAUAUCUCUGAGCAGUCUAUCUUCUGUGUAGGUGCAUGAAUUUGAGAGUUCUCCUCAGAUCCAGAGUCUUCUAACUUUUGCCCUGCUUCCCCUCUCUGCUGAAAUGUCAGGGCUCUGGCAGCUGCCAUUAUCAGAUCCCAAACAAGCGUGUGAAUAACAAUGGGAAGUGUGACAAUUCCCUAGGUUGUUUUUUUUUCUUUAAGCCUUCACAGGAAGAGCUUGACUAUGGCGAAUUCUAUGUUUAGACUGUAGUCUUUUGUAUUUAGUUUAGCAAACUGCAUUUCAAGGCCCCUAGGAUGCAAGUUAUACUCAUUAUAAUGCACGAAUAAUUUCCCCUUCAACAUGAUUUUCACAUCAGAAUGAUAAAGGACAACCAAAUGAUGAGAAUGAACUGUUGCAGUAUGAAACUGACCCACAGCUUACGUAAAACUGUAAGUGAGCACAAUUGAAUUUCCUUUUUCCUGACAAGGAAUGAGGGGAAGGGAUAGGGAGAAGGGAAGCUGACAGCAAGGUUUCUUACCCCACUGCUCCCUCUCCAUCUAAUUAAGAAGUCUGCUGAUUGGGGCAGUCCCCACGGCAGCAGCCACCUAGCAGAAGUGCAGGGAAAGCCUUAGAUCUGCUUACUUUCCACUAUAUUAGGCACCCCUGCUUUACAUUCUAUGAGUUGUCCACUCCCAAUAAUUACUUCUUUCUGAACACCCAUCUUGACAAGAAUGAAAAGCCAUCACAAAAGGCUAUUUUCCAAAAGAAAAAGUUCAAGUAUCUUCUCUUUUCCUUUUAAAUGCCUCAACAAAAGCCUGUUCUCACUAACCAAAAGACCAGGAAAGGGACAACCUAGCAAAACAGAAAACCUUUAGACAAUAACCAUUCUACUUCAACCAAACACCACAAACAAAACC